CCUAACACAUGCAAGUCGAACGGUAACAGGAAGAAGCUUGCUUCUUUGCUGACGAGUGGCGGACGGGUGAGUAAUGUCUGGGAAACUGCCUGAUGGAGGGGGAUAACUACUGGAAACGGUAGCUAAUACCGCAUAACGUCGCAAAACCAAAGAGGGGGACCUUCGGGCCUCUUGCCAUCGGAUGUGCCCAGAUGGGAUUAGCUAGUAGGUGGGGUAACGGCUCACCUAGGCGACGAUCCCUAGCUGGUCUGAGAGGAUGACCAGCCACACUGGAACUGAGACACGGUCCAGACUCCUACGGGAGGCAGCAGUGGGGAAUAUUGCACAAUGGGCGCAAGCCUGAUGCAGCCAUGCCGCGUGUAUGAAGAAGGCCUUCGGGUUGUAAAGUACUUUCAGCGGGGAGGAAGGGAGUAAAGUUAAUACCUUUGCUCAUUGACGU
rnacentral:rRNA from 1 species